AUGAAUUCUGCUCACUUGUGGGUGCUGAUGGCUGUUUUGAGCCUUGGAAAUGGUGAGCAAAGGGUGGACCAGGCUACAAGGGAUGUGCAUGAUGUGGAGGGCGCAACAGUGACGCUCGACUGUAGCUUCCAGAGCAACGAUUACAUUUUCUGGUAUAAACUUGAAAGAAAUGCAGCACCCGACUUUGUUUUGAGCGUCUCUCAGUACGGUAAACUCAAAUAUGGGAAUAAGUACUCCGAAAGGUUUAACUCCACCAUAGAUGCCAGUGCCUUGCAAGCUCAUCUGCAUAUCAAGGGGUUGAAGCAGAACGACUCGGCAAUCUUCUACUGCGCCCUGCAGCCCACACUGACACAGCCACUUGUGUGCUUGUACAAAAACAACUGCAUCCGUUCCUAG